GGGGGGACGGGGGGGACAGGUGGGGCACAGGUGUGCUCAGGUGUGACGUAGGUACAUACAGGCGUGACACGGGUGUGAUGUAGGUACGUACAGGUGUGCUCAGGUGUGACACAGGCAUGCUCAGGUGUGAUGUAGGUACGUACAGGUGUGCUCAGGUGUGAUACAGGCAUGCUCAGGUGUGAUGUAGGUACAUACAGGUGUGACACAGGCAUGCUCAGGUGUGAUGUAGGUACAUACAGGUGUGCUCAGGUGUGAUGUAGGUACGUACAGGUGUGCUCAGGUGUGACACAGGCAUGCUCAGGUGUGAUGUAGGUACAUACAGGUGUGCUCAGGUGUGACACAGGCAUGCUCAGGUGUGAUGUAGGUACAUACAGGUGUGGCACAGGUGUGACACAGGCGUGCUCAGGUGCGAUGUAGGUACGUACAGGUGGCACAGGCGUGUUCAGGUGUGCUCAGGUGUGAUGUAGGUACGUACAGGUGUGGCACAGGCGUGCUCAGGUGUGCUCAGGUGUGAUGUAGGUACAUACAGGUGUGAUACAGGCAUGCUCAGGUGUGAUGUAGGUACGUACAGGUGUGCUCAGGUGUGACGU